CCCGGACGCCAUCUUGGAUCCUGGCGCGGUCCGGAGCUGCCCUUCCUCCCGGUGAUUGGAUGAGGCCGUUGGGCGGCCGGGAAGGGGCGUGUCCAGCCACCCCGCGCCGCUCGCUCGCUGGGUCCGGUGGUCUGGCUCCCGAAGUGUGUAGCUGUUAAUGAUGGUCUGCUCGUUCCUGGACGCCCGCGACCUCCGGAGGCACAUGAGGCUUAGUUGGAUUUACGUACCCAUUCCAAUGGAGCUUCGAAGAAGUCUCAAAACCGCUUGGGAGUUGGUUGGGGUGGGAUCUUUAGAUGCUUCUUCAAGGACGUGCUGUCGUUCUUCAGGGCGAGUGGGAUCAUAUUCUAGGAAGAGGGGGCACAACUGCACGAAGAGCUGCGAAGAGAUUAGGGGUGAAGGACGCAGAAGUGGCAGGAGGAAAAUGCGAGGAAGGUGCUGGGGUGAGAUUGUGGGGAACUUUGAAUGCCAGGCUAGGGAGUGUGGACUUUAUCCUGUAGAAUACGGGGUAAAAUGAACAUUCGGAGGCUGAACACUGGUGUAACCAACACCUAGAUGAACAAACGUCACCAAGAGCUCAGAAGCCCCUCUUCCACCCCAGCCACUGCUACCUGUACCAAGGUGGUAAGUUUUUCAGAAGAGAUCUCUAGAAAAAUAUACAAGACAUGGUUGGCACUGCUAUACAAGGAGUAUGAACAGAGGGAAGAGCAUUCCUGGCAGAAGAGUCACCCUGUGAAAAACUCAUAGACCAGGAGAGGACUUGUCCUGUUCAAGACCAAUGUAGCCGAGGCACAAUGAAGAUGGGAAAGGAGAGAUGGCUCAGGAAAUAGCACAUUGAAGUGCUGUUAAGAGAUAAAGGAACAUCAUAUAUAACAUUCUCUAAAAGGACUCAGAAAAAAAAUGAUAGAAAGAUAAAGCAAACAGAAAUGUUAACAUUUGGGGAGAGUUGCCUUGGUGGCUUAGUCAGUGAAGCAUCAGACUCUUGAUUUCCGCUCAGGUCAUGAGAUC